rnacentral:ncRNA from 1 species
GUCAAUGUGAUGACGAGGACAACAGGAUUCUGUUACCGCCUUUCAGAGAGGAAAGCCUCAGGCUGCAAGCUUUCCGGCACGGACAGGAUGCUUACCGCCUCCGAACUUCAGUCGUGAACAAAAUCAGUAGCGGCUGACGGAUAUUUCCGUUAUCAUACUCAAGCCGCGCGUAAAGACGUGCGGAAAUGAGGGUGGAACCGCGUGUACAAAACUCGUCCCUUGC